rnacentral:misc_RNA from 1 species
GAUGAAGAACGUAGCGAAAUGCGAUAAGUAAUGUGAAUUGCAGAAUUCAGUGAAUCAUCGAAUCUUUGAACGCAUCUUGCGCUCCUUGGUAUUCCGAGGAGCAUGCCUGUUUGAGUGUCAUUUAACUUCUCAACCACAUUGGAUAUUUUUUUUCCGAUGCCGGCUUGGAUGUGGGGGUUGUUUGCAGGCUUUUUGUAACAAAAAAGGUCGGCUCCCCUGAAAUGUAUUAGUGGUAUCUGAGGCUAUUACUAUUAGGUGUGAUAAUUAUCUAUGCCUUUUGGGUAUGCCGCAUGAACAGAUUAUGCUGCUUCUAACGAAAACUAUUUUGAUGAAUUUGACCUCAAAUCAGGUAGGACUACCCGCUGAACUUAAGCAUAUCAUAAGCGGAGGA